CGGGACAUAGCGCAGCCUGGUAGCGCAUCAGUCUGGGGGACUGGGGGUCGCAGGUUCAAAUCCUGUUGUCCCGACCA
rnacentral:tRNA from 1 species